GGGCGAAUGGUCUAGGGGUAUGAUAUUCGCUUUGCAUUCAUUCUAAUGCUUGCGAAGGGUCCGGGGUUCAAAUCCCCGUUCGUCCA